rnacentral:rRNA from 1 species
GACGAACGCUGGCGGCGUGCUUAACACAUGCAAGUCGAACGGAAAGGCCCCUUUCGGGGGGUACUCGAGUGGCGAACGGGUGAGUAACACGUGAGUAACCUGCCCUUGACUUUGGGAUAACUCCAGGAAACUGGGGCUAAUACCGGAUAGGAGCCCCUGCUGCAUGGUGGGGGUUGGAAAGUUUCGGCGGUUGGGGAUGGACUCGCGGCUUAUCAGCUUGUUGGUGGGGUAGUGGCUUACCAAGGCUUUGACGGGUAGCCGGCCUGAGAGGGUGACCGGCCACAUUGGGACUGAGAUACGGCCCAGACUCCUACGGGAGGCAGCAGUGGGGAAUAUUGCACAAUGGGUGGAAGCCUGAUGCAGCGACGCCGUGUGCGGGAUGACGGCCUUCGGGCUGUAAACCGCUUUCGCUCAGGACGAAGCUUUGUGUGACGGUAGUGGGUAAAGAAGCACCGGCUAACUACGUG